GUUACCUUAUUUCCCACGUCCUAUUUCAAAAUUUUGAAUUCCAGAUCUUGCAAAACCAUCUUCAAGCUUUAUGGAUCAUCUCGGAAUCUUCUGCCAUCGAUGUAUACAUCUUCAGGAAUGAAUCGAAAUAUCAUCACAAUGCCAGCAAAUGAAUCAAUCGAUGUAUGCUUCCUGUGUUUUACUCUUUUCUCCUGGGCUAAUUGUUUUCUACUGUGUUGCAGUCGCCUUCAGAUCAAUCUUGUGUAUAUCCGAUACCGCAGCAUAGGUCUGCUAGCCUUGACACUGGGAUGGGUUCAGCUACAUACACCGUUGAGGACGCGUUUGCAAGCAGUAAACAAUCAAGGCCUAUGUUUGGAUCGAAUGAAAAUCUGGAUCCUAAUAUACAUAUGACUUGCACGUGGAUUGGAUUCUUUUUGAAUCCAGGAUUUUAUUUGACUCAUUUGAAGUGGUAAAGAAGGAAGACAAGAAUGCUCGAAGAACUGUUUUGAACAGUGUUGUAAGAGCUAUGUAUCUAAGCAUUCAACAAUUUUAGUUCGGGGCAAUAACAGCCAAAUAGUAAGAGCUAUGAAUUCACCUAUAACCAUCUACAUUAUAUAAGUUUAUUAUCUUAGUUCGGGGCAAUAAUAGCCAAAUAGUUUUAAUCUUCUGCAAUUCUACAAUUGUGUAAUUUUGUAUAUCUCCGUUUAAAUUCAUUGGAUACGCUUACUCCUAUUCUUAGGGUCUUCCUAAUUAAACACAAAAAGAAUAGAUUCAUUACUUAACCGGGUAAACCCAGAAAUUACCCAUUUCUGAUAACUAUACUAAUUUGAAAGGCUUGUCUGCUGAUAACUUCCGCAAUAUUAGCUAGGAGUUAUCAAUUUCAAAUUAAUCAUAACCAAUUAGUUUUUAUCAUUUCAAAUCAUUUGUCAUCAUCAACGAUAUCUGGAUUGACGUUAUUAAUUUGUUUUUGUAAACAUACUAUCCGUGAUUCUCCAUUUGUUAGCUAUUCUCUAUUGUAUAUAUUUUUAGUGCUUUUUCAAUGAUACAGGUGUUGCACAGGUUUGUUACAAACACACUCCUUUCUCUACUUAUUUCUUCUCUUUUUCAUUUAUUGAUUCUCUCUAUUUGUAUUUGUGAUUUAUGAAUGAUUAUGAAAUCAGGUAUUAUAGAAGUGUACUUUUGUUUGUUGCAUAUAGUAACCAUUAUUAUGCUGGUAUUUGUAUUCAAAGUUGUUGCAUAAAUCAUAUGUUGUAGAAUUUUUGCGCCCUAUUAGAGAAAUUCUGGAGAUGUGCAGUAAGGUAUAUGUUGAACCUUAUGAUUAUCUAUAAACUUGAACUUUUAUGAGUACAUGAAAGUAGUGUCUGUUCAAAUUUCUAAUGCGUGUUUUCUAUCGAUAGACAAGUCAGAAUCCCUUCCAGGUGUUGAUUUUUUCUAUGUUCAACACCUUGGUUAAAGCUGGAGAUAACUAAUUACACCUUCCAGGGAAAUCAAUAAAUCAAUCACAAUGCUUUUGUUUUCAAGCCAGGUGUUGAUUUUUUCUAUAUUCUUCAUAGAGUCCGGUGCAUGCAUUGGAGUUUUGUUUCUUCCUAUUCAGCUUGAUGUAGUAUCAGUGGAGUUCUUUCUAGGGUGGUUAAUUGCAUGUGCUGUGGGGUCUGGAUGUCAUGUGUGGAUAGCUGGUGGUAUUUUUUAGUGCAGUUGUGGAUCAGUGUCAUGGAUUUAUGCUGCAGUGUGGGGUUAGUGAUUUCCACAGAUUUGGUUUGGUGUUGCUUCUGCUGGGAUUAGAAGCAUCGGAAGGAUAUUGGGUACUUCUAUGUUUUUAUUUAGUUCAAACAUGUCGAAUUUUCCUUAUAUACUGCAGAAGUGGAACGAAGGAAAGCAAAAAGAGAAGGUCAACAACAUGGUGUUGUUUGAUAAGCCAACCUAUGAUAAGCUUCUCUCUGAAGUUCCCAAGUUCAAGCUUAUCACUCCUUCCAUCCUUUCUGAUUGUUUGAGGGCUUUGGGGCUUGCCUACCCGCAGCUGGGGAUGUUAACUGCGGCUAUAAAGCCAAAGGAGAACACAUCAGCAACCGUUACAGAGUCAGCCUUCUUGAGAGGUCAACGUAUGAACAGGGAGACUGAUCGUGAGCUGAAAGCAUACUGCCUUGCAUUUGAUAAUGAACUUGGUCCAGUGCCAAUUGCAGAUGUUAAGUCAUUGACUCAAUACGGUGAACUAUAUGAUGGAAAUACCCGUUUCUUCAGGAGCACACUUUUUGUUGCUGCUGUUAGAUCCUGUAUGAUGAAGCGUCUUUGCUUUAUGGUGUGGAUUGGAUGCCACCAAAGGGUUCGAUGCGACAAGUACUAUAGAAGGUUGCUGUGGAAAUGCUGGCUGUUCCCAAAUUGACAGUUUCAGAAGCUCAAAGGUUAUUAUAAGUUCAUAUCCUGAUCAAUAUAUCAGCCGGGACAAAAUGCAUUUUAUACAGAAUGCUCAUACUGUUCUUGCCACUUGGAUUCGGCACUGGAGAUGUAUGUCGGAAGAUAUUCUCAUGAAACAAAGGAGAACAACUGGUAUCGAUGAUCUGGAACUUUCUGAAGCUGACAUUCAGAAUUUCGCUCUUGCAGAUAUUGUAAGCUACAAAGUGAUGCUGUUAGAGAAGCCAUCAGGCAGAUUACUAUUGAUGCAAAAGAAAAGGGACACAAGUUCACCGAAACUAUUGAACUUCAGAUCGGACAUGAUCCCUAGAAAGACAAGCGUUUCAGUGGUUCGGUUAAAUUGCCACACAUUCCCAAACCUAAUAUGAAGGUUUGCAUGCUUGGUGAUGCUCAGCACGUGGGAGAGACACACAAACAAUCAUGGAGUCUAAGCAAACUUUUCAUUCUAGGCCAGAACAUGGGAAUGGUGUCAUGAAAAUAAAUGCCCCGUUGUAUGGAUCAAACGAUAUGAAGAAAAUAACCCUUCCACUUUAUCAGUAUAAGUGAUAUGUCCAGUAUUAGGUGAUGGUGGCAGGAUCAGGAUCAGGGUACGAAGACAAAGGAGAGGAGAUGCGGUGCAUCCUUUAACGAUUUCUUUUCAAAAUUUAUAUAGUUGUACUACAAAGAAGCUGUUACUAUCCUGAAAUAUGAUUCGCUCGAAAUGAAUAGAAUGAUUUAAUUACUUCUGAUUCUGUAACUGGCUAUUGUAAUUUGAUUUUUAUGCAUGUGUUAUUAAUAUGUGUUCAU